rnacentral:rRNA from 1 species
GACGAACGCUGGCGGCGUGCUUAACACAUGCAAGUCGAACGGAAAGGCCCUGCUUUUGUGGGGUGCUCGAGUGGCGAACGGGUGAGUAACACGUGAGUAACCUGCCCUUGACUUUGGGAUAACUUCAGGAAACUGGGGCUAAUACCGGAUAGGAGCUCCUGCUGCAUGGUGGUGGUUGGAAAGUUUCGGCGGUUGGGGAUGGACUCGCGGCUUAUCAGCUUGUUGGUGUGGUAGUGACUGACCAAGGCUUUGACGGGUAGCCGGCCUGAGAGGGUGACCGGGCACCUUGGGACUGAGAGACGGACCAGAAUCGUAUGGGACGCAGCAGUGGGGAAUCUUGCACAAUGGGCGGAAGUCAGAUGUAGAGAUGCCGCGUGCGGGAUGACGGCCUUCGGGUUGUAAACAGCUUUCGAAUGUGACGAAGCGUGCGUGACGGUAAUGGGUAAAGAAGCAACGGCUAACUACGUG